CGCUGCUACUUUCCCGCCUGGCCGCUUCGCAGCUGCAGCCCAUGGGCUUGCCGGCGACGCUCGUCCAGGCAGGGAGUCCCCAACGCUCGCCGGCGACGCGUAGUCCCCCAGGCCAACAGCAUCGUUCCUCCACCAUACGCUCCGAGGAUGAGGGUCGCGGAAAGGCGAGGUGUGCUGCGACGCGAUGUGGUCAUCAAUCGGCUGGCGGCGGCAGUGGCAAGAGGCGUGCACGACCGAGGCAUAAGCGGCCGCGCGGCCGAGAGGGCCCCGUCCCCGUGGGCAGGAGAGCGUGCACGUGGUCAGAGGAAGUGCACGCUUACCCUCCGUCGCCUGCUUCUGCGCCUACCUCCGGACUCUAGUCGUUCCUGACACGCGCUGCCUGCCGCUCGCGAAGGAGCAGCGGUGUCCGCGCCGGCGCCAAGAAAGGCACACGCGACGAAGCAGGCAAGCAGUGCUGGUCCUUUGUAGCUCUCUUGUACCCCUGUGCGCCCUCCCGCUCAGCAGAGAACACCCUAGCAGGCGGGUCAGUCGUUGACAUGGAGGACGCCCAUUAGCUGCUCGAUGAAAUUCCUCCAAGGCAAGCCGCUACUCAUCGGGAAGAACCAUGCCAUUGUCGCCGUGUGUGCUUGUGGAGCUAUAGAUGCAACAGCUUGCGAAUCACUGCAGCCACUCAUUUUGCAAGCUCUAGCUCCAUCAAAGCCAAUAUGUUUAUAGAGUCUGCAAGCUUGCCUGUAGACUCGAUCGAGUCGAUUCCUCGCGAUUCCGCUCAGCCAAAAACCUUAUCCCCAGUUCCCCACCACCUCGCAAGCAUUGAGAAGGCCAAGCCACGGGCGUGCUUCCAUCGCUGCCGCCUUCUCGCCCUGCUGCAGCCUGAUCCUCGCUGCUGCUUCCUGUCCCCUCCCCUUUCCUCCCUGAUGCUUGAUGGUAUGCUCUUCUUGCUCACUAUGUACUUGUCAAAAUGAUUCACCGGAGGUUUGAUGAUAUCUCACGGUGAUGUAUACUUGCAACAGGCUACUCAUUUAAUUUGUUGAUUUUAUUUGCAGAAAAACAGCAAUUCUCCACUCAUAGUACAUGCAAUUCCUUGCUCUUUUAUUCUCAAACUAUCUUUUCAUGAGUGAGUCACUGGCUCAAUGCUGUUAUAUAUAUGUGGAUCAUUAAAUUCAUAUGCCUGAUUUGACACGGCAUGCUAAGAAGUCACUUAUUUAGCUAAAAAAGCAAUAGAUCAUCUGAAUGUUAAAUUAGAUUCUGUAUGUGUGGAAGCACCAGAAUCGUAGAAGAAAAUAAUGCAGUUUCAGGCGUUAUAAUGGCUUUUCUCAUCCUUUAUACUUCCUUCAAUAGAUAACAGUAAAUUCUGAACUUUUGAUUUAUGCUACAAACUUGAAAGUAGCAAGAUUUACCAUUUGAGUGAACUCUGCAAAUCUUAAUUUUGAUCAUCUGCCAGUUUGCAUCCCUUAACUAUACUGGAGCCACAUAAAAAGCACACUUGAAGUAAGUUGCUGUAUAAAAUUUACAGGCAAAUAGGCAAUGCAUUUCACAUUUAACGUUAUUCUCCACUGAAAGUAAAAUAUUACAUAGCCAGUACAAUUUGUGGAAAGGAAAAUCCUACCUUUGCUUUUGCUUGGAAGAUAGAAAUCUGAAGCAUUUACCAUGUUGUCUGUUUCCUACUAAAGCAAGUGACACCAAUCUUGUUACUUCGUAAUUUUAUCCAGUUUAACGUGUGGGAUAAGGAAUCCUAAAAAAAACAUGUGGGAUAAGGUGAACCAUUUAUUUUUCUUUGCUUGACGACACUGACAUUUUGGCUCUCAAUUCACCACCAUUGCUGAUGUAUCGAUCUUUCACCCAUACAGGUUGCAAAUAGCUUGCCGGCAAAGGCAAUAGCUUUUCAAAAGGUCUUCCAGAAGAAGGUACCACAAUUCCUCCAUCUAUCAUUUGUGUGCUCUGAAUAGAUUUGUAACUCGUGAUUCCUAAGCGAAAUAUCACAGAAGAUCACUGGAUUUCCAAUUCCAAAUGUUGCCAAAAGGAUAUUGUCAAAUAUACCAUGAAGAAGAAGCCACUUACAUGGAUAAAGAGCAACAUCUACUUAGGUGCUGAGAUACCCUGCUGCAUAGUAGUUUGAAAUAUAUUAACUAAGAGCUUCAUACUACUGAUCCUUGAGAUUCAGUUUCUGCCAGCAAGUUCUCAUAGUUAACUAUAUUUUUUAUUUAUUUAUACAUUGUCAUGUGCUGCAUGGAGAUGUUGUUAUAUUUUAUUCUAAUAAUGUAUCCUGCAUCACUUUAUUAUA